rnacentral:rRNA from 1 species
UACGGAGGGGGCGAGCGUUAUUCGGAAUUAUUGGGCGUAAAGGGCGCGUGGGCGGCUGUACAAGUCAAAGGUGAAAUCCCUCGGCUCGACUGAGGAACUGCCUUUGAAACUGUACGGCUUGAGGCCGGGAGGGGGUAGCGGAAUUCCCAGUGUAGCGGUGAAAUGCGUAGAUAUCGGGAGGAACACCUGUGGCGAAAGCGGCUCACUGGACCACAACUGACGCUGAGGCGCGAAAGCUAGGGGAGCAAACAGG